UACGUAGGGCGCAAGCGUUGUCCGGAAUUAUUGGGCGUAAAGAGCUCGUAGGCGGCUUGUCACGUCGGGUGUGAAAGACCGGGGCUCAACUCCGGUUCUGCAUUCGAUACGGGCUAGCUAGAGUGUGGUAGGGGAGAUCGGAAUUCCUGGUGUAGCGGUGAAAUGCGCAGAUAUCAGGAGGAACACCGGUGGCGAAGGCGGAUCUCUGGGCAACAACUGACGCUGAGGAGCGAAAGCGUGGGGAGCGAACAGG
rnacentral:rRNA from 1 species